AUUGAACGCUGGCGGCAGGCCUAACACAUGCAAGUCGAGCGGCAGCGGGAAGUAGCUUGCUACUUUGCCGGCGAGCGGCGGACGGGUGAGUAAUGUCUGGGAAACUGCCUGAUGGAGGGGGAUAACUACUGGAAACGGUAGCUAAUACCGCAUAACGUCGCAAGACCAAAGAGGGGGACCUUCGGGCCUCUUGCCAUCAGAUGUGCCCAGAUGGGAUUAGCUAGUAGGUGGGGUAAUGGCUCACCUAGGCGACGAUCCCUAGCUGGUCUGGGAGGAUGACCAGCCACACUGGAACUGAGACACGGUCCAGACUCCUACGGGAGGCAGCAGUGGGGAAUAUUGCACAAUGGGCGCAAGCCUGAUGCAGCCAUGCCGCGUGUAUGAAGAAGGCCUUCGGGUUGUAAAGUACUUUCAGCGGGGAGGAAGGUGUUGAGGUUAAUAACCUCAGCAAUUGACGUUACCCGCAGAAGAAGCACCGGCUAACUCCGUGCCAGCCGCCGCGGUAA
rnacentral:rRNA from 1 species